AUACCUUCCUUUACUAAUAGAUAAAGAAAGAAAGACUCUACCAAAGGUUAUAUGAUUAAGACCAAUGUGAAAAUAUCGAGAAAAAACAUGGUCUUGUAGGGCUAGGUUUAAACCAGAAUUUAUAGAAAGAUUAACAGAUUCCCUAGGUGUAGCUAAAAGUGCAUUAUCUUCUUGAUUAAAAGAUAGGACCUCGGCUAUAGAAAAGGGUUGGUUUUGACCUAUUGCGAUCAACUCCGGACACAGAUCAUAAUUAGGGACAGGACUUGUUGACUCCCAUGGUCUAUGGCUGGUCUCCGAAGGUGCAACGAAUUCAAUAAUAAGUAUGGAAUUUGAGUUAUCCAUAAAGAUGGAAAAAAUAAAAAGAUAAAAGAAUAAAAGUAUAAAAGUAUAAUACAAGAUAAUAGCAAGACUUAAAGUUAUCUCAGCAAACCGUCUUUCUCCCCAGCAAUGGUGCUAGCAAUGCUUGUUGAUAUUUGGUAACGCAAUAAGGAAAUGAUCCGCAAGCGCACGGAU
rnacentral:lncRNA from 1 species